ACUCAAAGGAAUAGACGGGGGCCCGCACAAGCAGUGGAGUAUGUGGUUUAAUUCGAAGCAACGCGAAGAACCUUACCAGGGCUUGACAUCCAACUAACGAGGCAGAGAUGCGUUAGGUGCCCUUCGGGGAAAGUUGAGACAGGUGGUGCAUGGUUGUCGUCAGCUCGUGUCGUGAGAUGUUGGGUUAAGUCCCGCAACGAGCGCAACCCUUACGGUUAGUUGCUACGCGAGAGCACUCUAGCCGGACUGCCGUUGACAAAACGGAGGAAGGUGGGGACGACGUCAAAUCAUCAUGCCCUUUAUGUCCUGGGCUACACACGUACUACAAUGGCGGAUUAACAACGGGCUGCGACCACGCGAGUGGAAGCGAAUCCCUUAAAACCCGCCUCAGUUCGGAUCGCAGGCUGCAACCCGCCUGCGUGAAGUCGGAAUUGCUAGUAAUCGCGGAUCAUCAUGCCGCGGUGAAUACGUUCCCGGGCCUUGUACACACCGCCCGU
rnacentral:rRNA from 1 species